rnacentral:tRNA from 1 species
GGAGAGGUGCUCGAGUGGUUGAAGAGGCACGCCUGGAAAGCGUGUAUACCCCAAAAGGGUAUCGGGGGUUCGAAUCCCCCUCUCUCCG